rnacentral:rRNA from 1 species
GACGUAGGGCGCGAGCGUUGUCCGGAUUUAUUGGGCGUAAAGGGUGCGUAGGUGGUCAGGUAAGUCUGAUGUGAAAGCUCUGGGCUCAACCCAGAAAUGGCAUUGGAUACUAUCUGGCUAGAGGAAUGGAGGGGGGACUGGAAUACUUGGUGUAGCAGUGAAAUGCGUAGAUAUCAAGUGGAACACCAGUGGCGAAGGCGAGUCCCUGGACAUUUCCUGACACUGAGGCACGAAAGCUAGGGGAGCAAACAGG